rnacentral:lncRNA from 1 species
GUCAAAAUUUGACCCAUUUUUCAUGAGUUUGAACCAAAAUAUAAGAUUAGGGUUUUCCCCUACGUUCUCACCUUUAUAUAGUUAACAUCAUAUGGAAAAUCAUUUCACGGCCGCUCUUCCAUCAUCUGAGAUCUUACCGCUCCAAUUCAGUAUGCAGUUUUCUGACCUGAUCGGAGGUCCAAUAAUUGACCAGAUCGAGUGUCCAUGUAUGGGAAUGGAUCAUAGCAUGUUGACAGUUCAUAGGAGCGCAUCUAUCUUUCUAUCAGUCAUGCUUUUUGGAUGAUGGUCGAGAUUGAAUACCAUAAAAGCCAGCUUUUUCGGCGGCCUUUAAGAUAGUUGGCGGAUUGUAAGGGAAAGAAUGAAUUAUUUAGGCAUGAUGAUCCGGGGGCUUUCCCCGCCACCGGUUUUGUAAGUAGCCCAUUGGGUAAUGCUUUAGACUUGUAUAUAUAUUGCAUACUUCUUACCAUUCUGGUCAUUCGCCGUGUUUGUGUUUGUUGAAUACAAACAGCAACUUGAUAGAGGGUGGUGGUUCAGUUUUCAAUUUGUUUUCCUAAUGGCAAAUACUGCUCAAUCAGGUAAAAGUAUUGCUAGAUCAUUAUUCACUGCACAGCUUUCACUUCCAGAAGAACCUGUUAUCCAUAAUUAUGUACUAGAUCUAUGGAGUUUUCAUUUAUUCUCCAAUAAUGCUAUGCUCAUCAUAAUGUUCUUGUUUUUCAGAACUCCUAAAUGACCGCUUAUGGAAUGCCUAUGCUAGACCGCAGGCAUAUGUUCCCCUUGAAGGGGAGCGCAUUUACUACUUCCCCCAAGGACAUAUUGAACAGCUGGAGGGCUCCAUGCAUUAUGGAUUUGACCAGCAGCUUUCAACAUUUUGUUUACCAGAAAAAAUACUGUGCAAAGUGAUGAAUGUUGAGUUACGGGAUGAACCGAGCACUGGUGAAAUGCAUGCAAAUAUAACUCUUCACAGCAACUCGAUAGAGGGCCGUCCUUCACAGUUGAAGUUGUGUUAUACCUGGUGGUGGUUCAGAACUCUUAAAUGAACGCAUAUGGAAUGCCUAUGCUAGACCACAGGUGAAACACAUACAAAUAUAACUCUUCUGCCAGACAAUGAUCAAGGUGAGAUGUUUGUUGAAGCAAGAAAACACACAAGUCUUUCAAAGAAUAUACUCGGUGUAUCUGUGACAUUACCGAUCAACUUGUGGUUCUUUCUGUUGCCCCUCACGCACUUACAACAAGAUGCUUUCUAUCCUAGUUCAUUACUGGCAUGAACAAGUACCUGGAAGCUCAAAGUCGUAAAAUAUAUGUAGGAAUAAGGUUCAUGAUGACCUUUGAGGAUGAACACUUUGCUGAAAGUAGGUACAUAUGACUCUCAUUAUGAACAUAGAGGUUUGGUGGGACCGUCGUUGCUGUUGGGGAGUCUGAAUGGAAAUAUAUAGAGAUUGUUGAAGAAGGAACCUUUAUCAAAUGUCGGUUAGAGUAGUGAGGACAUUGCACAAGACUCGACGCAUAUAUGCGUACUUUGAGCGGGAAAUCUGAUACGAGAAGCGUUACGGAUUUGGUUUUGCUUUGAAGUCUCAACUCAAUAUUUUGCGUACCUAUAUCAUCGGUUAAGGGGGGAUCUGUUUAAAGAUAAAAUCUUGAAGCAUGCAUCCAGAGUCUCUUCAACUGUGGCAUGAAAAAAAGGUUAACAAGCCCAGAAAUUCCACUAGACCAUCAACAUCCAUUCCACCUAGCAGGCACAUUUUCGAACAUAUAGGAAAUGGCAACGAAGAUGUUGGUUCAGAUGUUCUAGAAUGUUCUAGAACAUUCGAACCCCGUCUUUCAUUUAAAGAAGUCAAAUCUUUUGAUGAUUUUUGUAUUCUGGCAUUGAUGUCAGCAUUGAACUUGACUUCUCCCAUGAUGUCCGAAUGGAUUACUACAAACUAUGUUUAUACAAGAAACAAUUUCUUCAUCCGGAAAGUGUAUAUGACAGGUUACUGGGGAAAAUAUGAUUGGUGAAACCGUAGAGAUUUGUAAUGGGAUUAUGAAGUGCAAGCUCACCACAGCUAUAAAGAGUUUGAAAAAUGGGAUUAGUACCUGAAAUCUUUCAAGGGUUUUGGCGUGAAUGUUGGGCUUUUACGCCAUAAGAUACACACACUUGCAAGACGUGUGUUUGAAUUAGAAUUUCAUUGCACAUAAACAGUAUACGGAGGCAGCAAACGAACAUAAACAUGUAAAUGAUGAGUCAAAGAAAUUAACACCCAUAUGUGAGGAGUUGAAGAAGAGUACUAAAAAAUGUGAGGAUAUUUUAGGCUCUUUCGGAAAGUUAUUAGCUUGUUUUCCUUUUAUGAUAAACUGUGAAACAUCUGAGUAAUGAACUACAUUCAGUGAAUCAGUAACUUUUUUGGGUUUUUCAUUAUCAGUUGUAGUUCGGAUGCAGUGAUUGUGGUUUUGUGUUGUCUUCAUCAGUGGAUAUGGAGGCUUGUUCAAUUACUCGUAUCCUAUACCGAUGUUCCAACGAACGGACCAAUAGUUGCUUAAUUGAGGCAUUCAACACUUGAGGCAUUUUAGUAUUUUCGAGUAAGCUGGUGAUUGGUGAGUAUUGGCCGGGUUGGUUAUGAUACAACAUUGGAUGUUUUGGUUUUUAUAUCUUUAUAUUAAUAACUCAUAUUUUUUACUGAG